AUGGUCUGGGGAAAGGCUCCUUGUGUGGUUGACCCCACCCGAUGUGGUGCAGCCCUGUACCUUUAGCUCGACCUUGACCUAAAGUAAAUUCGCAGAGAAGCAUCCUCCCUGGGGUUAAAAUUUGCAGUUAACAGACUGAA
ensembl:scaRNA LOC120096792 small Cajal body-specific RNA 16